rnacentral:rRNA from 1 species
AUGGUAGAUGUGAAGUUUGAUGAAUCUAAUGGCUCGCAAGUAGAGCAAUUGCCAAUCGAUGUAGGAGACAAAGACCCUUUAGAAGCAAUCCAAGACUUGUCUAUUGGCAAAAUUCGUCCAACGGAGGUGAAGGAGAGUACCUCGUCCGUCCAAGUGGAAGCAUCCACAAGUGGGACACACCAACAUGAAGAAGACAAGGAAAUGCAUCAAGACGAACAUCAACAACCUCCUUCUCCACCACGACAAGAGAACGACAACGUCAACAAUGAAGAAGGCCAAGAUGAAGAAGAUGUUCAACAAAGACCCAAGCAAAAGCUCUCACGAGUUCGAGCAAGAAUUGCCAAAGAUCAUCCCGUCGAGCAAAUCUUCAAUGAUAUACAAACCGGGAGAAUCACUCGCUCAAAAACUCGUUCAGCUAACUUUUGUGAAAACUAUUCAUUCAUCUCUAGCAUUGAACCUAUGAAGGUUGAAGAAGCAUUGGAAGAUCCAGAUUGGAUAAACGCUAUGCAUGAAGAGCUACACAACUUUGAGAGAAACCAAGUUUGGACAUUGGUUGAGAAGCCCGACAACAACCACAACAUCAUUGGUACCAAAUGGGUGUUUCGCAACAAGAAAGAUGAAGAUGGACAAUUGGUUCGCAACAAAGCACGUCUCGUCGCCCAAGGGUACACACAAGUCGAAGGUAUGGACUAUGGUGAGACAUAUGCUCCCGUUGCUAGACUUGAGUCCAUUCGCAUCUUACUUGCCUAUGCUAAUCACCAUAAUAUCACCUUGUACCAAAUGGACAUUAAAAGUGCUUUUAUAAAUGGUGAAAUAGAAGAGGAAGUUUAUGUCAAACAACCUCCCAGCUUUAUCAAUCCUAAGAAACCAAAUCAUGUUUACAAACUUCACAAAGCUCUUUAUGGUCCGCUCCUAGAGCAUGAUAUAAAUGCUUGA